GAGCCGUUAGCUCAGACGGUAGAGCACCUGACUUUUAAUCAGGGGGUCGUGGGUUCGAGUCCCACACGGCUCACCA
rnacentral:tRNA from 1 species